rnacentral:rRNA from 1 species
CGUAGGGUGCAAGCGUUGUCCGGAAUUAUUGGGCGUAAAGAGUUCGUAGGCGGUUUGUCGCGUCCGUUGUGAAAGCUUGGGGCUCAACCCCAAGUCUGCAGUGGAUACGGGCAGACUAGAGUCAGGUAGGGGAGAACGGAAUUCCUGGUGUAGCGGUGAAAUGCGCGGAUAUCAGGAGGAACACCGGUGGCGAAGGCGGUUCUCUGGGCCUGUACUGACGCUGAGGAACGAAAGCGUGGGGAGCGAACAGGAUUAGAUACCCUGGUAGUCCACGCCGUAAACGGUGGGCGCUAGAUGUGGGGACCUUCCACGGUUUCUGCGUCGCAGCUAACGCAUUAAGCGCCCCGCCUGGGGAGUACGGUCGCAAGACUA